GACGAACGCUGGCGGCGUGCCUAAUACAUGCAAGUAGAACGCACAGUUUAUACCGUAGCUUGCUACACCAUAGACUGUGAGUUGCGAACGGGUGAGUAACGCGUAGGUAACCUGCCUGGUAGCGGGGGAUAACUAUUGGAAACGAUAGCUAAUACCGCAUAAUAUUAAUUAUUGCAUGAUAAUUGAUUGAAAGAUGCAACUGCAUCACUACCAGAUGGACCUGCGUUGUAUUAGCUAGUAGGUGAGGUAACGGCUCACCUAGGCGACGAUACAUAGCCGACCUGAGAGGGUGAUCGGCCACACUGGGACUGAGACACGGCCCAGACUCCUACGGGAGGCAGCAGUAGGGAAUCUUCGGCAAUGGACGAAAGUCUGACCGAGCAACGCCGCGUGAGUGAAGAAGGUUUUCGGAUCGUAAAGCUCUGUUGUAAGAGAAGAACGGGUGUGAGAGUGGAAAGUUCACACUG
rnacentral:rRNA from 1 species